rnacentral:rRNA from 1 species
GACGAACGCUGGCGGCGUGCUUAACACAUGCAAGUCGAACGGUGAAGCGCCUUCCUUUUUGGUGGGUGUGGAUGAGUGGCGAACGGGUGAGUAACACGUGAGUAACCUGCCCCCUUCUUCUGGAUAACCGCAUGAAAGUGUGGCUAAUACGGGAUAUUCUGGGUCUGUCGCAUGAUGGGUCUGGGAAGGAUAUUGUUUCGGUGGGGGAUGGGCUCGCGGCCUAUCAGCUUGUUGGUGGGGUGAUGGCCUACCAAGGCGGUGACGGGUAGCCGGCCUGAGAGGGUGGGCGGUCACACUGGGACUGAGACACCGCCCAGACUCCUACGGGAGGCAGCAGUGGGGAAUAUUGCACAGUGGGCGCAAGCCUGAUGCAGCGACGCCGCGGGAGGGAUGGAGGCCUGCGGGUUGUGAACCUCUUUCGCCAGUGAAGCAGGCCUGCCUCGUUUGUGGGUGGGUUGACGGUAGCUGGAUAAGAAGCGCCGGCUAACUACGUG